rnacentral:misc_RNA from 1 species
AAGUCGUAACAAGGUUUCCGUAGGUGGACCUGCGGAAGGAUCAUUAUCGAAUGAAAUCAGAGUCGGUUGUCGCUGGCCUCUUCACUGAGGCAUGUGCACGCCUUCUCUAUUCAUCCACACACACCUGUGCACUUGUGAGACGGAUCGACCCUCUCGGGGGACGGUCCGUCUAUUAUACAUAAACUCCAUUAUAUAAAUUUGAAUAUAAUUUGAUGUAACGCAUCUUUAAACUAA